rnacentral:rRNA from 1 species
CAAGUCGAACGCACUCUCGUUAGAUUGAAGGAGCUUGCUCUAAUUGAUAAACAUUGAGUGAGUGGCGGACGGGUGAGUAACACGUGGGUAACCUGCCCUAAAGGUGGGGGAUAACAUUUGGAAACAGAUGCUAAUACCGCAUAAAACCUAACACCGCAUGGUGUAGGGUUGAAAGAUGGUUUCGGCUAUCACUUUAGGAUGGACCCGCGGUGCAUUAGUUAGUUGGUGAGGUAAAGGCUCACCAAGACCGUGAUGCAUAGCCGACCUGAGAGGGUAAUCGGCCACACUGGGACUGAGACACGGCCCAGACUCCUACGGGAGGCAGCAGUAGGGAAUCUUCCACAAUGGACGAAAGUCUGAUGGAGCAACGCCGCGUGAGUGAAGAAGGUUUUCGGAUCGUAAAACUCUGUUGUUGGAGAAGAAUGUAUCUGAUAGUAACUGAUCAGGUAGUGACGGUAUCCAAUCAGAAAGCCACGGCUAACUACGUG